rnacentral:rRNA from 1 species
CAGUCGCCACGGGAAUACGGAGGGAGCUAGCGUUGUUCGGAAUUACUGGGCGUAAAGCGCACGUAGGCGGUUAUUCAAGUCAGAGGUGAAAGCCCGGGGCUCAACCCCGGAACUGCCUUUGAAACUAGAUGACUGGAAUCUUGGAGAGGUCAGUGGAAUUCCGAGUGUAGAGGUGAAAUUCAUAGAUAUUCGGAAGAACACCAGUGGCGAAGGCGACUGACUGGACAAGUAUUGACGCUGAGGUGCGAAAGCGUGGGGAGCAAACAGGAUUAGAUACCCCAGUAGUCCCUGUCUCUUAUAC